rnacentral:tRNA from 1 species
UGGGCCAUGGCCUGGUGCAGUAGCCGGGCGACGUUGCCGGUGUCGUAGCCCUGGGCCGGGCGAUCGGAGUCACCCAGGCCCGGC